AUUGAACGCUGGCGGCAGGCCUAACACAUGCAAGUCGAACGGUAACAGGAAGCAGCUUGCUGCUUCGCUGACGAGUGGCGGACGGGUGAGUAAUGUCUGGGAAACUGCCUGAUGGAGGGGGAUAACUACUGGAAACGGUAGCUAAUACCGCAUAACGUCGCAAGACCAAAGAGGGGGACCUUCGGGCCUCUUGCCAUCGGAUGUGCCCAGAUGGGAUUGGCUAGUAGGGGGGGUAACGGCUCACCUAGGCGACGAUCCCUAGCUGGACUGGGAGGAUGACCAGCCACACUGGAACUGGGACACGGUCCAGACUCCUACGGGAGGCAGCAGUGGGGAAUAUUGCACAAUGGGCGCAAGCCUGACGCAGCCAUGCCGCGUGUAUGAAGAAGGCCUUCGGGUUGUAAAGUACUUUCAGCGGGGAGGAAGGGAGUAAAGUUAAUACCUUUGCUCAUUGACGUUACCCGCAGAAGAAGCACCGGCUAACUCCGUGCCAGCCGCCGCCGUAA
rnacentral:rRNA from 1 species